rnacentral:pre_miRNA from 1 species
GUUUCGUGCGUAGACGAGAUGGCACAGUCCUUAUUUAUCCUCUUUACUCACUCAGUUUCAUAUGAAUCAGUAAGAGAUGUAAGAGGGCUGUGUCAUCUCGCUGCGCAUCAUAU